UACAUGGGGUGCAAACGUUGCUCGGAAUUAUUGGGCGUAAAGCGCACGUAGGCGGUUCGUUAAGUCGGAUGUGAAAGCCCUCGGCUCAACUGAGGAAGUGCACCCGAAACUGGCGAGCUUGAGUACGAAAGAGGAUCGCGGAAUUCCCGGUGUAGAGGUGAAAUUCGUAGAUAUCGGGAGGAACACCAGUGGCGAAGGCGAUCACCUGGGGUUGUUCUGACGCUGAGGAGCGAAAGCUAGGGGAGCAAACGGG
rnacentral:rRNA from 1 species